UCUCUGGUAGUAUAUCGGAUAGUACACCCGCCUGUCAUGGAAACUCGACCGCGGGAGAGCGGGGUUCGAUUCCCCGCCAGAGAG